UACGUAGGGGGCAAGCGUUGUCCGGAUUUAUUGGGCGUAAAGAGCGUGUAGGCGGCCAAGCAGGUCUGCUGUGAAAACUCGAGGCUCAACCUCGAGACGUCGGUGGAAACCGUUUGGCUAGAGUCCGGAAGAGGAGAGUGGAAUUCCCGGUGUAGCGGUGAAAUGCGCAGAUAUCGGGAAGAACACCCGUGGCGAAGGCGGUUCUCUGGGCCUGUACUGACGCUGAGGAGCGAAAGCGUGGGGAGCGAACAGG
rnacentral:rRNA from 1 species